GGGGAUUUAGCUCAGUGGUAGAGCGCUUGCCUAGCAAGCAUAAGGCCCUGGGUUCGGUCCCAAGCUCUG
rnacentral:tRNA from 1 species